rnacentral:tmRNA from 1 species
GGGGCUGCACUGGUUUCGACGUGGGUUCGGAGUCGCUGUGGUGCAUGUCGAGCUGAAUGCGCUCGUAAAACAGAUUCAAACAAACUAACUGCAAACGACGAACGUUUCGCACUCGCUGCUUAAUAACCAGUGAGCCUUACAACAGCAGGCCGAUGGGCUGGGCAAGGGUGAUGGGGUGAAAGCCGCAUCGUCCAGGCUGUAAGGUCAUUCACAUCGGCUGGCGCUUGACCGGGUACCUUGGUCAGGGGCGAGACAAUAGGGUGCUGGCGACGGUGUAAGCGUGUGGCUGCGCGUGCACCAGGGCGAGACCCAAAUCAGACCACUAAACAUGUAGAUCUGCUCGAUAAAGGCUGACGGACG